rnacentral:rRNA from 1 species
UACGAAGGGGGCUAGCGUUGUUCGGAAUUACUGGGCGUAAAGCGUGCGCAGGCGGCUUCUCAAGUCAGGGGUGAAAGCCCAGAGCUCAACUCUGGAAUUGCCUUUGAGACUGAGUGGCUUGAGUACGAGAGAGGUGAGUGGAAUUCCCAAGUGUAGAGGUGAAAUUCGUAGAUGAUUGGGAAGGAACACCGGUGGCGAAGGCGGCUCACUGGCUCGUAACUGACGCUCA